rnacentral:rRNA from 1 species
GACGAACGCUGGCGGCGUGCUUAACACAUGCGAGUCGAACGGAAAGGCCCUGCUUUUGUGGGGUGCUCGAGUGGCGAACGGGUGAGUAACACGUGAGUAACCUGCCCUUGACUUUGGGAUAACUUCAGGAAACUGGGGCUAAUACCGGAUAGGAGCUCCUGCUGCAUGGUGGGGGUUGGAAAGUUUCGGCGGUUGGGGAUGGACUCGCGGCUUAUCAGCUUGUUGGUGGGGUAGUGGCUUACCAAGGCUUUGACGGGUAGCCGGCCUGAGAGGGUGACCGGCCACAUUGGGACUGAGAUACGGCCCAGACUCCUACGGGAGGCAGCAGUGGGGAAUAUUGCACAAUGGGCGGAAGCCUGAUGCAGCAACGCCGCGUGCGGGAUGACGGCCUUCGGCUUGUAAACCGCUUUCGCCUGUGACGAAGCGUGAGUGACGGUAAUGGGUAAAGAAGCACCGGCUAACUACGUG